ACUGUUGAGCUCGGCAUUGAACGCGGACGAGGCGUUGUCUGAUAUGCAUAAGUCCAUACGACCAACAACGAAGGCAUAUGGCACAUAUCGAAAAAAGGCAAUGACCGAAUUACGUGAUCUGCCAUGUGGCUCCAGAAGAAAAAAAUAACAAAGAUAAAUUGGAACAGUUAGAAAAUGAAAAAAAAGAAUGAGUACGACGAUGUCGAGUGGUCAUGGAACAAUUUCCCGAUCAUGGUUUGGAGAAUGAAAUAAUACCACCAGAUUCAUCACCAUACUCCGGCGGUGGAGGAACUAUGGUAUACUGAUAAUCCACAAAAAAACCCCGUAAAAAAACAAUUGCAUGGAACAAUUUUGAAAAAGUAAAAGCUGAAAGUACGCAAGAAGAACGAAAAGAAUUAAAAACCCAUGGGAAGAAGUGAUUAAACACCGGCACCCAAA
rnacentral:lncRNA from 1 species